rnacentral:rRNA from 1 species
UACGUGAGGGGCGAGCGUUGUCCGGAUUUAUUGGGCGUAAAGAGCGUGUAGGCGGCCAGGUAGGUCUGCUGUGAAAACUCGAGGCUCAACCUCGAGACGUCGGCGGAAACCAUCUGGCUAGAGUCCGGAAGAGGAGAGUGGAAUUCCUGGUGUAGCGGUGAAAUGCGCAGAUAUCAGGAAGAACACCCGUGGCGAAGGCGGCUCUCUGGGACGGUACUGACGCUGAGGAGCGAAAGCGUGGGUAGCGAACAGG